GCUGGGUGUGGUGGUACACGCCUGUAAUCCCAGCAGCUCGAGAGGCUGAGGCAGGAGGACCACGAGUUUAAAGCCAGUCUCACAAAAAGCGAGGUGCUAAGCAACUCAGUGAGACCCUGUCUCUA
rnacentral:sRNA from 1 species